rnacentral:misc_RNA from 1 species
AACUUUUGACAACGGAUCUCUUGGUUCUCGCAUCGAUGAAGAACGCAGCGAAAUGCGAUAAGUAGUGUGAAUUGAAGAAUUCAGUGAAUCAUCGAAUCUUUGAACGCACAUUGCGCCUUUCGGCAUUCCGGAGGGCAUGCCUGUUCGAGAGUCAUUAACAACCAGUUCAAUCCCUCUAAGAAAAUAUUUGGGGGAUUGGUUAUUGGUGAAUGAGGGGAUGCGUGCAUCACGUUGAAUCACCUCACCACCGAAAUUCAGAGGCGGUUUGUCCCCCACGUGUUUGUGGCGUUGUAAAGGCUUACCAGCACUAUUCGCUCGCAUCGUGGGUGCACUGCUUGCCAUUGGAGAAAUCCCCAUUCAUCAAAGGUUGACCUCGGAUCAGGUAGGGAUACCCGCUGAACUUAAGCAUAUCAAUAAGCGGAGGCU